rnacentral:rRNA from 1 species
GCUUAGAGUUUGAUCCUGGCUCAGGGCGAACGCUGGCGGCGUGCCUUAGACAUGCAAGUCGAGCGGUAGGCACCCUUCGGGGUGCUGAGAGCGGCGAACGGCGGAGUAACACGUGGGUAACCUGCCCCGAAGACUGGGAUAACCCGGGGAAACUCGGGCUAAUACCGGAUGUGGAUGCGUGGGCUUCGGCUCGUGCAUCUAAAAGGGUUUCCGCUUCGGGAUGGGCCCGCGGCCUAUCAGGUAGUUGGUGAGGUAACGGCUCACCAAGCCUGCGACGGGUAGCCGGUCUGAGAGGACGAUCGGCCCGAGGGGCACUGAGACACGGGCCCCACUCCUACGGGAGGCAGCAGUCGGGAAUUUUGGGCAAUGGGCGCAAGCCUGACCCAGCGACGCCGCGUGGAGGACGAAGCCCUUCGGGGUGUAAACUCCUUUUAGUGGGGACGAACGCAGACGGUACCCACAGAAAAAGCCCCGGCUAACUACGUGCCAGCAGCCGCGGUAAUACGUAGGGGGCGAGCGUUGCCCGAAUUUACUGGGCGUAAAGCGCACGUAGGCGGCUCCGUAAGUCUGGUGUGAAAUCUCACGGCUCAACCGAGAGGCUGCACCAGAUACUGCGGAGCUCGAGGGCGAGAGAGGAGAUUGGAAUUCCCGGUGUAGCGGUGAAAUGCAUUGAUAUCGGGAGGAACACCAGUGGCGAAGGCGGAUCUCUGGCUCGCUUCUGACGCUGAGGUGCGAAAGCUGGGGGAGCGAAAGGGAUUAGAUACCCCUGUAGUCCCAGCCCUAAACGAUGGGCGCUAGGUGUCGGGGGAUUAACCCUCGGUGCCGUAGCUAACGCAUUAAGCGCCCCGCCUGGGGAGUACGGCCGCAAGGUUGAAAC